rnacentral:tRNA from 1 species
GCAGAGAUGGCUGAGUUGGUCUAAGGCGCACGACUGGAAAUCGUGUAACGGCUUAAACCCGUUCGGGGGUUCGAAUCCCCCUCUCUGCGCCA